CUACUUCACGCACCAGUGGGGAAUAUUGGACAAUGGGGGAAACCCUGAUCCAGCACUGCCGCGUGUGUUCAGAAGGCCUGCGGGUUGUAAAGCACUUUCGGUUGGGAGGACUGCUUCUAGCACUAAUAUUGUUGGAAGUUGACGUUACCUUCAGAAGAAGCACCGGCUAACUCCGUGCCAGCAGCCGCGGUAAUACGGCGGGUGCAAGGUUAAUCGGAAUUACUGGGCGUACAGCGCGCGUAGGCGGCUAGAUCAGUCGGGUGUGAAAGCCCCGGGCUUACCCUGGGAACUGCAUCCGAUACUGGCUAUCUUGAGUACAGGAGAGGGGAGUGGAAUUCCACAUGUAGCGGUGAAAUGCGUAGAUAUGUGGAGGAACACCAAUGGCGAAGGCAGCUCUCUGGCCUGAUACUGACGCUGAGGUGCGAAAGCGUGGGGAGCAAACAGGAUUAGAUACCCUAGUAGUC
rnacentral:rRNA from 1 species